AGAGAGAGACAUGCGCGCAUAUCAAUAAGCGGAGGAAAAGAAACUAACAAGGAUUCCCUUAGUAACGGCGAGUGAAGCGGGAAGAGCUCAAAUUUGAAAUCUUCAAGGUUUUACCUUGACGAAUUGUAGUUUAAAGAAGUGUUUUCUGCUGAAGUUUUGGUAAAAGUUCUUUGGAAUAGGACAUCAUAGAGGGUGAGGAUCCCGUAUUUGACCAUUAUUUUCAGCUUUGUGAUACACUUUCAAAGAGUCGGAUUGUUUGGGAAUGCAGUCCAAAAUGGGUGGUAAAUUUCAUCUAAAGCUAAAUACUGGCGAGAGACCGAUAGGCGAACAAGUACCGUGAGGGAAAGAUGAAAAGAACUUUGAAAAGAGAGUUAAACAGUACGUGAAAUUGUCAAAAGGGAAGCGUUUGACACCAGUGUUGUUUUCUCGAAAAUCAAUUAAAAAUGGCUCGAUUUUGUAUUGUUGAGACCUUAAAAGCUCACUGUACAUUUUUCGUGUCUUUUUUAAUGCACUUUUCGUUUAACAAGUCAACAUCAGUUUCUUUUGUUGUAAAAGGGUCAUUGGAAGGUGGCUUUCUUUUCGGAGAAAGUGUUUAUAGCCUUUGGCCUCUGCAAUCGGAGAGACUGAGGUCUGCAGCGUAGACUCUUCGGGGUUAGAUACAUUUGUGUUAAGUUAUAGCUUUUUAUAGACAACUUGUUGACUAUAAUUAGUCUUGUAGCUUACUCGCUUAUGCUAUUUUACCUACGCUUAGGAUGUUGAGUCGUAGAGCACGCAG
rnacentral:rRNA from 1 species